AUUUUGGCCAGAGGUUUGUGGGGAUCAGGGGUCUGGGGUUCAGUUGGGGUGGUUUGUGACCUCCAACGGCGGUGAUCGGCUUGCAAGGCUUGUGAAUUUGGGAGUUUUGCGGUGCUAAUAAUAGAGCAAGCUCGCGGAGCUGAUUGCUUUGGGGCGGUAACAGGGAAUUUUUUCAUGAGGCAUGGGGAGUCAUCCAUGUAAAAACAUUUUUCGGCUGCUUGGGAAUUUUUAGGCCUCUAAAUUGGACUAAAAUUUAGGUGUUUCAUCACGAAUUGCAGAACUAUUUGAAGUGAAUGCAGAAGCAAUUUCGUUUUGGGGAAGGAAAAUUGGGGGAAUGUGUUUCAACGAUGUUAAUUUGUCUUAAUUUUGUGCGGACAUGCGAACAGGUGACCUUCCGAGAUCCAGAUUCGGCGAGGAUGGCCUGCAUGGAUCCCUAUCCAGUAAUUGACGGGCGGUGUGCCUGUUUCUAGUGUAUUAGAGUUGCCAUAAUCAUCCCAUUUUCUAUCAUUUCAGAGUCUCCAGGAUAUACAGGUAUAUGAUGUAAUACUUUGCUCCCUGUCAAUGAGUACGCUCAGAGUUUCUCGAGCAUUUUUUGGGAUCGUCAAUUUUUUUAGCCAUGUCAUAUAGAUAUUGUUAUGAUUGGUUAAUUUCCAACUAUGGUAGGUAGACGAUAGAAAUAAAAUGCAUUACUGAUCUAAAUGGGGUUCAGUAGUUCAUAGUUACACUCAUUGAGAGGUAAUAUAACUUAAUAUCAGUUUAAUGUGUAUGACUGUAACUUGCAGCGGAGGAGCAGAGGCGGCAGCCCGCGCGCAGGGCGGCUGCUCCGGCCAGCCCCUUCAACUUCUCCACCAUGAUGAACUUGCUGAAUGACCCGAGCAUCAAGGAGAUGGUGGAGCAGAUUGCCAAGGACCCGUCCUUCAGCGAGAUGCCCCGUAAAUCUACUAUAUGAUCAAUCAAAACAUGUUUUGUCCAAAGUCCAAACUUAAUGGUGUGAUAUUGUGGCAUAUUUACCAUGGAGCUAGCAUAUAUGUGGAGCUGACUUUGUUCCUGGAGGAGCAGACACAGAGGAGGAAUCUGCUAUCUCAAAGCAGUUGAUCAACGCCGGGAGGGUGGGUACGUGAUGUCGGAGGCUGCCGGGAGGGUGGUGACGAGCUACCGAAGAGAUGAGUUCUGGCUCUCCUCGAUGCCAGGACGAGGCGCUGCUGCCGAUCGGACAUGGACUCGAUUGAUUUUGAAUUGAAAUAUGACGGGUUGUAAUGUAAAAUGCACUUCAGUUCAAAUUUCCUCCCCUUGCGAGAGGUAUUAUUGGACGGAGGGAGUAGAAGAUUAGUUAUAGGAUUUUGUUUUAUUUCUGUGCAAUUUUCUUUUUAUUGGAUACUUGUAAAGACAUGGUAAUAUUCUUGCU
rnacentral:rRNA from 1 species